rnacentral:rRNA from 1 species
AUUGAACGCUGGCGGCAGGCCUAACACAUGCAAGUCGAGCGGAUGAAGGGAGCUUGCUCCUGGAUUCAGCGGCGGACGGGUGAGUAAUGCCUAGGAAUCUGCCUGGUAGUGGGGGAUAACGUCCGGAAACGGGCGCUAAUACCGCAUACGUCCUGAGGGAGAAAGUGGGGGAUCUUCGGACCUCACGCUAUCAGAUGAGCCUAGGUCGGAUUAGCUAGUUGGUGGGGUAAAGGCCUACCAAGGCGACGAUCUGUAACUGAUCUGAGAGGAUGAUCAGUCACACUGGAACUGAGACACGGUCCAGACUCCUACGGGAGGCAGCAGUGGGGAAUAUUGGACAAUGGGCGAAAGCCUGAUCCAGCCAUGCCGCGUGUGUGAAGAAGGUCUUCGGAUUGUAAAGCACUUUAAGUUGGGAGGAAGGGAAGUAAGUUAAUACCUUGCUGUUUUGACGUUACCAACAGAAUAAGCACCGGCUAACUUCGUG